rnacentral:rRNA from 1 species
GAUGAACGCUGGCGGCGUGCUUAAUACAUGCAAGUCGAGCGAACGGACGCGGCGCUUGUUUCUUUGUUGUUUGCGGCGGACGGGUGUGUCACACGUGGAUACCCUCCCUAUCUGUCUGGGAUAAUUUCGGGAAACCGGCGCUUAUCCCGUAUAAUCUUUUGAACCGUAUGGUUCAAAAGUGAAAUUCGGUGUUGCUGUAACUUCUCGCUGGAUCCGCGCUGCUUUAGCUAGUUGGUACGGUAACGGCUUACCAAGGCAACGAUGCAUAGCCGAACUGUGGGAGGGGUCGGCCACACGGGAGCGGGAACACGGUCCAGACGCCUACGGGAGGCAGCAGUAGGGAAUCGGCCGCAAUGGGCGAAAGCCUGACGGAACAACGCGACGUGAGAGAUGAAGGUCUUCGGAGCGUAAAACUCUGUUACGAGGUAAGAACAGAUGUGGAAGGAACUGAACACAGCGUGACGGUACCUAAUCAGAAAGCCACGGCUAACUACGUG